AGUGAACGCUGGCGGUAGGCCUAACACAUGCGAGUCGAACGGCAGCACAGUAAGAGCUUGCUCUUACGGGUGGCGAGUGGCGGACGGGUGAGGAAUACAUCGGAAUCUACUUUUUCGUGGGGGAUAACGUAGGGAAACUUACGCUAAUACCGCAUACGACCUACGGGUGAAAGCAGGGGAUCUUCGGACCUUGCGCGAUUGAAUGAGCCGAUGUCGGAUUAGCUAGUUGGCGGGGUAAAGGCCCACCAAGGCGACGAUCCGUAGCUGGUCUGAGAGGAUGAUCAGCCACACUGGAACUGAGACACGGUCCAGACUCCUACGGGAGGCAGCAGUGGGGAAUAUUGGACAAUGGGCGCAAGCCUGAUCCAGCCAUACCGCGUGGGUGAAGAAGGCCUUCGGGUUGUAAAGCCCUUUUGUUGGGAAAGAAAGGCAGCAGGUUAAUACCCCGCUGUUCUGACGGUACCCAAAGAAUAAGCACCGGCUAACUUCGUGC
rnacentral:rRNA from 1 species